AAGAUGUAGUUCAUGUGUUAUUUAUGGCUCUAAAGGCAGCACUAGCAUUCUAAAUGGAAGUAAAGGCUGGUUGCUACCUAACAAGAAUUUUCUUACUGUCCCAACAACUACCUGAAGACAGAAUGGGCUGCCUCGGGGAUGGGUAGUGAGUUGGUGAAUUUCCCAGGCCUAAUAGGAGUUGUUAAAGAAUUUUUGAAUAGAGAAAGAGGGAAGAUUAAUCUGUAAAGUGUGUAGGAAGGAUAGAUGGGAUAAUCUGUAAAGUGUGUAGGAUGGAUAUAUGGGAAAGGGGAUGUGAUGAUCUAAGUCAAGCUUGUCCAACCCGCCUUAUUUUGUUGUUCUGUUCUGUUUUGUUUUAGGCUUUUUGCAGCUUAAAGCCAUGGUUUUUAGUUUGUCUCUAGUGAAAAGAGGGAUGAGGAAAGGGCUUUACCAGCCCAACCGGAAACAAAGAACCCAUGACUGUAUUCUCUCCCUUGGGCCCCGGAGCUACGUAUUUAAUAUUCAUAACAGCUUCCAUUUGAGUGUUCAUUUACCAUGCCAGGCAGUGUUCCAAAUGCUUUCUCUACAUUAUCAACUCUUUCAUCCCCCCAAACAGCCCUAUGAGGAAGGUGCUUUUAUCUCCAUUUGAAAGUGAGAUCAGUGAGGCACAGAAAGGUUCAAUGACUCCUUCAAGCUCCAGCAAAGGGUAGAGCUAGUAUUCAAACCCAAACAACCUGGCUCCUGCGCCAGGCUCCUACCUACUAUAUGCCCUUCACCCUAACAAAUACCACCCAUUUAGGUGGCAAAACACCGUCGUUUACAGCGCACUGUCUCCUAAAUUACAUCAUUAGAUAUUCCCAACGCCCCUGUGAGGAGUAGGAGGACUAACUCCAUUUCACAGAUAAGCAGAUAGAGGUCCGAAAAGAUUGCAGUUUGAGUCCCAGUGCUUAGGUGACGUCCACCGCUCCUCGGGUACAGGAAAAAGAAGGAAAGGGGAAAUGGACGGAAGGGUAAACAAGACUCCGAAGACCCGGGUGAGCAAGGGUUCCCAGGCAGCACUGUUCCCCGGCACCAGCUGAGUCCACCUCUCUCCGCCCCCUCAGCGCACGGCUGAGCCUUGGUCUUUCAUCUCUCCAGCCAAGCCCUGGGUUAGCACAGCUGGUUCAAUGAAGGAAUGCGAAGCCAGAGGCCCUACAAGCUACACCAGCAAAGUGCUGGGACCGCUCGACCCCUACGUGCCCCGCGCCCCUUCCCAGCGUCCCCCGGGCCGGGAAGUCCCGGUACCACCCCCGCCCACAUGCGCCGGCUGGGCCUGGCGGCCUCCCCCGGAAACGUUCCCCCAUCCUCGCCCGGCGCCUCACUCACCAAGGGCCGCGCCGGGGUUCUGCACUGUCACUGCGCUGCGGUUCCCCGCCUUAGGGAUUCUCACACGGUUCCACGGCUCCAGGCCCGGCGGCACCGCAGCCAUCAUGCGAGGCGGGGGGACUUACGAAAGGCGGAGCUACGCGAGAGCACGUCCAGCGACCGGAGGUGCCGCGUUUUGGAGUAGUGUGUCCUGUACCUGUCACCUUUAACAAACA
rnacentral:lncRNA from 1 species